AAUACCUGUAGUACUUACCUCAUCAUUAUAUUCUCCCGGGGAGGUAAGUACUACAGGUAUU
ensembl:miRNA mdo-mir-12347 mdo-mir-12347